AUACGUAGGUGACAAGCGUUAUCCGGAUUUACUGGGCGUAAAGGGCGUGUAGGCGGUCUUGCAAGUCAGAAGUGAAAUUCCUGAGCUCAACUCGGGCGCUGCUUCUGAAACUGCAGGACUUGAGUGCUGGAGGGGAUAGCGGAAUUCCUAGUGGAGCGGUAAAAUGCGCAGAUAUUAGGAAGAACACCGGUGGCGAAGGCGGCUAUCUGGACAGUAACUGACGCUGAGGCGCGAAAGCGUGGGGAGCAAACAGGAUUAGAUACCCUGGUAGUCCACGCUGUAAACGAUGAAUGCUAGGUGUAGGAGGUAUCGACCCCUUCUGUGCCGGAGUAAACACAAUAAGCAUUCCGCCUGGGGAGUACGGCCGCAAGGUUGAAACUCAAAUGAAUUGGCGGGG
rnacentral:rRNA from 1 species